AGGAAAGAUAAUCGCACCCAGGUAGUCCAAGCUCUAAUUGCUUGCCUGGCAGAAUUGGAGACAUCCCUGAAAGUUUGGUUAAAAAAAAAAAAAGGUCUUGUGGAGGUGGGUGGUGGGAUGGGAAGCUAUUUCUUUGACAUGCCACUUACCACUAUUAGAAAAAGAGAAAAAGAAGCCAUCCUGCCAGAGGAAAUGCCUUUUAUUAAAGCUGACAAGACAAAUAGAUCAAGCUUUGCAGUUGUGAUGGUGUUAAAAGCAAGCCUCAUUAUGCUGGGCAAGAAAAAAUACAGACAGAUGUCGGAAUGUGGAAGCUGUGACCUCUGACCCACACAGCACGGCCACUGCCCUGGCACACAAGUGUCCUGAGCCACCAUGGGAGCAGGAUGCUUUUUUGAAGUGACUGACACUUGGAGAACCUGCCACUGCUUCUGUAGUGACUUGUAGUUCUCCACAGUGUCAGCCUUUUAGCUUCAGUGUUUAAGUUCCUCACCUUACCUUUUAUAAAAACUGUUUGUUUGGCUGAGCCAGCGCCUUCGUGACUUCUGGGCGGGUGCGGUAUCCCUGUAGUCACGAUCAGUCUUUGACUCCCGAUAAAUUUAUUCAUUGGGUUGGGAUGAUGGAGAGGGCUCAGAUGGAUGGUUCUGCUGCACCAACGUGUUCAGCUUUAUUAAGCUAAUAUAUAUAUAUAUAUAAAUAAAUAUAUGUAUUUUAUUAAAGACGGAUAAAAGGCCUUUUCUUUUAGUCUCUGCUCCGCAAUCUCGCUAGUAACCCCUGGGUUCAGACAGACCAUUAAUGUUUUAGAUGCGGUGGCAUUUGGUGUUUUCUUCAUAUAUUUGUUUACUGUUACAGCUUCAGUAUACUUUUAUGCCUAUUUUGGUAGUUUUCUGGCAGGGGUUCCGUUUAUUAAAAUGUAGUGACCCAGUACUAAGAGGGGAACAGUUCAAAUAGUGGUGCUUCGGACAGGGUUUUGUGUCAAACUAGAGAAAAUAAUAGGGAAAUGAAAGCUGCCAAAAUGUGUCUCCCAGUUACUAAUUAAUCAGGCGAGAAAGGACCUUGGUGACAGAUCUGGUGUCCGCCAUGACAGCAUUCGGGAAUGCUUUAUUUUAAAUACUGUAUAAAACAAAUUAAAGUAAGCCUCAAGGAAUGUAGCACCCAGAUAUUUGAUAUCACACGUACUAUUUUUUUUUUAAGUCUGUGCAAAGCAAAGUAAAAAACGGAAACUUUGUACUCUUCAUUGAUAGUAUCAAAGCAUAAAGCUGUU